UACGAAGGUCCCAAGCGUUUAUCCGGAUUUAUUGGGUUUAAAGGGUGCGUAGGCGGGCUAUUAAGUCAGUGGUGAAAGCCCCAAGCUUAACUUGGGAACUGCCAUUGAUACUGAUGGUCUUGAGUACAUUUGAGGUGGGCGGAAUGUGUCAUGUAGCGGUGAAAUGCUUAGAUAUGACACAGAACACCGAUUGCGAAGGCAGCUCACUAAACUGU
rnacentral:rRNA from 1 species